rnacentral:rRNA from 1 species
GUCUACAGCCAUACCACCCUGAACAUGCUUGAUUUUGUCUUAUCUCAGAAGCUAAGCAGAGUUGGGCCUAGUUAGUACUUAGAUGUUAGACCAACUGGGAAUGAGUGCUGUUUUUU